CUCUCGCAGUCGUCACUCAGUCGCGCCAGGCCCCCGCUAGCAUAAGCAAGCCUAAACAGUAUCUCGCUCGCCUAUACCCUUUGCCCUAAAGAAUAUAACGUUGUUAUAAAGAAAAUAAUAAAACAAGCAAAGCAAAACUAAAUAAUUAUUUAAUUUGAUUGAAACGAAAAAUAAUUCGAGAACUUGGUUGAAAUAAAUUUAAUACAUCGUCGAUUGAAACUAUCGAACAAACACAUUCAUCUAAUAACAAUAUUGAUAAUAAAUCCAUCACGUUUCUCGUGUUCAAGAUUAAAUUCUUCGGACAGUUAUUUAAAUAAUUUUAUUUUGUUUUUUUGGUUAUUCAGUUUUUGCAUAAUCAAAUUUCAUGAAAAUUACCACUGCAUUACCUCUGCUGCAAGCUGAUAACAAAAUAUAAAUGAAUAACUUCGUUGUUAUCGUCUAAUUUUGUAUAUUAUUAAAUUAUCUGUUACAUUAUUAACAUUAUUAUUAUACUACGUUGAAUUGUGUGAUGACUGGUUUAUUUUUUCUCUCGAUUUUAAUCAAUCGUUUUAUAAAUAAACUGCGUUGAGAUAUUAAAUUUACAAUCAGUUUGUAUAAAUAUUUGUACCAAUAAUCUACACGUAGUUUGAACGUAUCUAAAGUACAUCUGACAACGUCUCGUUUGUUCUGAUAAUUAUCAUUUUUAUUUUAAAUUUUGAACAACUUUUAAAUACUAAUCUUAAAUGUUGGGAAGUAAAAGUUUUUACAAGUUACGGUAAUAAAUAACAUUAUAAUUAUUACCAGAAUUUUAAUGCAAAGGAAGAAUUGAAAUGAAAAAAAAUUAAUUGGUCCAGUUUUACAACAUUGUUAAUCGUUCUCCAUUAAUUGUUGUUGUGGUCUCUUGGUUGUGACCAUCACACCUCAUGAAUUGUGUGAAUAAAAUAUCGACCGUCUGAUCAAAAUAAAAAAUAAACAUCCAAAUCGCCAAUGAGCAAAUUUGACAUAAUUCUGUAUGUUAAUAAAAUGAAAAAAGAGAUUUUUUCCAUCCGGUAAUAACUGAUAAGACGGUGGCUUUUGGAGCAACGUUGAAUUUAUCAGUUUUUUGCAGAAGAUAUACAAUUGUAGAAAAGCAAAUAAUCGUCACAAUUAUUAAAAGAAAAAAAUUACGAAAAAGUAAUAAGUCUAUUAACAAUAAUUAAUAGUGGUGGUGUGUUAUUUUGUGCCGGUGCCGGUUUUAUGUGGUCGGACAAUCGAGGAACUCGGUGUGCCGCUAGCAGCAGCGUAGCAGCAGCACCAGCACCAGCACCAGCAUCAGCACUAGCAUCAGCGAUAGCGACAGGAAAUAGUGAAGAGGAAUUAUUAUUAUUAACAGUAACGAGGAGAACGACGACGACAGGAGGAGAAGAAGAUCAUCCUAAUCAGCAGCAGCAGCAGCAGCAUCAUCACCGACAGCAGCGUUAUUAUUUUGCAUUCUCAAUUCCCGCUGCUUUAAACUUGUCAAAUUCAGCUGCUGAUCAGUCUAGCAGCGUAACGUAAAACGUGGGACGGACGUCAUAUCAGAAUUUUCUGUAUCUGUAUACGUGUACAUACAUGUGUACGGAAGAAUCGAGAACGACUUCGAAAAUACGAAGCUAACGAUAUUAAAGGGACUACGAUUCGUUAAAGGGAUUCUACGCGAAUAAAGAUCCAUCAGUUGCGGAAAUCGAGAUCUACGAGAGGAUUCGAAUUAUACGUUUUAUAGUGUGUGAAAACGAUAACGAAAAAGAGAAGAAGAAAAAAAACCAAAAGGAAGCAACGCAAAACAUAUAAAGAAGAAAAAGUAAAAUAAAUCAUAGAUUAG